AACGAACGCUGGCGGCAGGCCUAACACAUGCAAGUCGAACGAGCUGAGACCUUCGGGUCUCGAUGCUAGUGGCGCACGGGUGAGUAACGCGUGGGAACGUACCCUUUAGUACGGAAUAACCAAGGGACACUUUGGCUAAUACCGUAUACGCCUUUCGGGGGAAAGAUUUAUCGCUAACGGAUCGGCCCGGGUCUGAUUAGGUAGUUGGUGAGGUACCGGCUCACCAAGCCGACGAUCAGUAGCUGGUCUGAGAGGAUGAUCAGCCACACUGGGACUGAGACACGGCCCAGACUCCUACGGGAGGCAGCAGUGGGGAAUAUUGGACAAUGGGCGAAAGCCUGAUCCAGCCAUGCCGCGUGAGUGAAGAAGGCCUUCGGGUUGUAAAGCUCUUUCGACGGGGACGAUGAUGACGGUACCCGUAUAAGAAGCCCCGGCAAACUUCGUGCCAGCCGCCGCAGUAA
rnacentral:rRNA from 1 species